UUCUGACCCAUCAGGACUCAGGGGUGUGGCCUUCCAUUGUUCUUGGUGGCUUCAUAAGAAAGUGCCUCUGAGCGCUGAGCCAGACCAACCCAGGCUUCAGUAUGGCGAAGGCAACUAAGAAGUCACAGCAUCCUACCAAAAAUAUCAGGCCAUCAACCUCAGGUACCAAGUCUAAGGAAGCCAAAAGUUGCCAUGAGCCCAAAAUCAGAACUUCUGGCAAGAAGGAUGGUGAAUCCAGUUCCAGAAGCUGUAGAAUGGUGCAAAUGAUUACCAAGGUCAAGAAAACCCCACCAAGGAGGGCAAAGAGAAAGGCUUCUCAGAAAAUUACAACCCCAACAAAAAGGAACAAAAAAGCCAGUGGGAAAUUACUAUAUGGUCACUACCACCGCCUGAUGAAAGAGAUGACCAGGACUGAGACUGAUCCAGGGCAAAGCAGCUUAGAGAGUUGCAGUAGCUCAACAAGUGACCUGGAAAGCCAAUAGCCUCAGAAUGCCACCAGAGACCUAGCCAUCUGUUCAAAGGUCUAGCAGCUAAGCAAUGUUGAACUGUGUAGGCUGAAUUUUUACUACACAGUUACAUUGAUGUUGAUGAAAAUAAAAUCAAUCUGAUAUGAAAAAAAGAGUAGGAAAUAUAAAAAGAAUAAGCCACAAAACAAAAAGCUAUGGAUUCCUUAAAAAUUAAUAAAGAUCAGAGUUGACUGGAGGAGACCUACUGAAAAUCUGGUGGCAAACAUGAAGGAAGAAACCAAGAAAAACUAUAAGACAAGUAACAUAUAUGAUGAUCCCUCUACUAUGGGAACAGCUCUGAGACUAGCUCAGUGGUGGCUCAGAACUACCCAACUAGCUAAGGCCAGGCUUAGGGAUUUUCAACACUGUCUUCAGAGGAUAUGGAAAUCUGUCAGCCAACUCUUCCGAUGCACAAUGAUGAGAAAGAACAAAAGAACCAGACACCAAUAAAGACAAGUAGCCCAGGUGAUCCAGCCUCUCAGAAUUCCUCUGCUGCAGUUUCCUCAAAAUUCUGCAUCCAAAACAACUUCAAAGCUGCUAGGUCUCCCAGCUCAAGCUUUCUCAGGAAACCAAGCUGGAAGCAGGAGGACCAGGACACAGGCAAAUUGCUGGCCCAAACAUUUAGCGUUUAGUGGUUGCCCAGAGAAGCUUCAGCAGGAAGCAUCCAGCUCUCAGCCUCUGGACCAGAGUGGCAGUGAAUCUGCGGAAUGAAGGAAGACCCCAGAGAGCUAAGGAAUAAAGUGAAGACAAAAGCUACAAGAUAACAUCUCUUCAAGGGUUUUCACCUCACUCUCUCCAUGUGAUACAAAGGGUCAAGUGGAGGAAACAGCAGCUGCUUGUUCUCACAGCUUUAAAAGAACUGACAAACACUUCUCAGUGCCACUCUCCUUUCAAAUAAUAAAUAUGUCACCUUUGCAAA